CACGUCAUUAUUCCUAACAUAAAAUUCAACAAUUUCUGAUAACCCUGCAGUUAGAAGUCUUCUGAAAUGAUAAAAAGUUCACAUCGCGAUUCUUACGGACUACGAUACGCGACGUGUAGCACGAUAUUUCGGUAUUCGAACAAAUCGACGUCGAAACUUUUCUUUUUUUUUUUCCCCAGCAGAAUGCGUUGAUUUCCAAGUAAAUGAGAUGCUUCGGAUAGUGAUCCUUACACAAGUAUGCUUAAUUAUCCUUGAAUCGAUAUAAAAUUGUACAGGAUACAGCAGGGGAACAGCAACAGCGUCCUCUGCUGUAAGGAUUGCAUCGUUUUGAUGAGCUCAUAGCUUUCUCGCAUUAAAGCCAUACAGCUAGAGUUCGACUUUUCCCGAUUAUUUUCCGUCCUAGUCCUCUGAAACAGCAGAGAAGGUGCUCUAACUGUGCUCGAGACCUUCCCUUGUAAGUAUCCAUCUUGUGCCUGAGGUUGUGCUUCAGGUCUUUUAGUUGAUUUUCCAUUUCAGAAGCUCCGCUAGGAACAAAUGCACCAAACUUCACAGAAUGUUAUGUUGAAGAUUGAUUAAUUCCUCGCGAAUUUGGUUUACAAAUGAAUCCUAUUCAUUCCAGCAGGUUCUGGAGAGAAAAUGAGAUUCUGUAUAAUAUCCUACAGCUAUGUACAAUAUUUGAUUCAGUUCGUCUUUGUCUGUUUUCUCAGACAGUCACUUUGCGUUAAAUAUUUAAGUUCAUCAAUUAGACUACAAAGCAGAAUGUACAUAUACAGAGUAAAUGGAUAUAUCUCAAGACGGGUGCUCCGGUAGGUAGGGUUUUUUUUUCUUCUUCCCCCCUUCCAGUUUGGUUCUGUGUCAUUUUUAUCCUGGUGUAACACUUUCUUUCUUUGUUUUUCGUCUUUCCAUGUUUAAAAUUCCACUUUAAAAUGAAAAUUGAGAAGUAAUCUGUGCAGGGUGAUUACUUUAAUUAAUAACGGUUCCAGAUUGAUUUCCACUUUGCUUUUAUAAUAAGCUCCACUCUUCUGGGAAGGAUUUCCACUAGACUUUGGGGCGUGGCCGUGGGAUUUGUGUUCAUUCGGCUACAAGAGCGUUGGUGAGGCUGACGUGAGGACGCUCCAGGUCCAGUUCGUCCCGAAGAUGUUCAGCGAGGUUGAGGUCGGGGAUCUGUACAGGAUACUCGUGUUCUUCUCACCUUAGAUUGCCAGCUGUAGACGUGGAAGAAGACUGUGGCGACUUCACACAUCAUCACUUCCUGUAAAAGAAAUACCGUUAGGUAACACAUCUGUUGUUAGUAUUGGAGAUGUAACUGAAUACGAGCACAU
ensembl:lncRNA